CGAUGCUCUAACCUCUGAGCUAAGCGGGC
rnacentral:tRNA from 5 species